GGGGCAUGACGGGCACCUCGGCUGGCACGUACUCCACCCUCCGGGGCUCGGGGCCUGAGGAGCAGAAGGUGGCCCUGGGCAGAUGCUCUGCGUGCGGGAGGCUGCGCUUUCAGUCAUUAUUUGGAUUUCGUUUUCCACAUGAAAAUAUUUAGAGAUCCAGCUCUUGGAAGCCAAGGAGAAACUGGCUUUUAAGGACCAUGGCUACUGUGACGUAUCCUGACUAAUGCCGACAGCACAGGGAGCCUUUGCCUGCCGGAGGAAGCGGUGAGGAAGAGGUGGUGCGUCGUGCACUUCCUGUUGCUGUUUUAGGACAGCUUGGGCGUAGUUUGUUCCAGGGAAGUGCUGCUGAACCAGGUAAACCCAGCCCCCCAUCUCCAGGAGCAGAGGCUGCAAGGACAGGAAGACAAUGAGGCAAUGGUGUGCUGGGGGAAUCGUGCUAAAGUGAAAGCAUCCUUCGAUCAUUUUUAAGUCAUUCUAGGAUCUUCAGGGCAUCAAAGUUUUGCCUGUGAGCCUCAAUUGGUCUAAUACAAAAAUACAGACUGUGGUCUGAGGAGGGGAUGUUGACCUGCAGAUGACAUCACGGCGGCCACACACGUGCCUGGGG
rnacentral:lncRNA from 1 species